rnacentral:rRNA from 1 species
UACAGAGGGGGCAAGCGUUGUUCGGAAUUACUGGGCGUAAAGGGCGCGUAGGCGGCCUGUUAAGUCGAACGUGAAAUCCCCGGGCUCAACCCGGGAGCUGCGUCCGAUACUGGCAGGCUUGAAUCCGGGAGAGGGAUGCGGAAUUCCAGGUGUAGCGGUGAAAUGCGUAGAUAUCUGGAGGAACACCGGUGGCGAAGGCGGCAUCCUGGACCGGUAUUGACGCUGAUGCGCGAAAGCCAGGGGAGCAAACGGG